CUUCAAUUAUGAAAGGAUUCUCCGAUUAAAGGCUACGAAAAUAGGCACAAGUUUAAGAUGCUCUGAGGGGCCUCUCCACAUCCACGAGAUAGUGGUGCCAGAAAGGCAGGCCACAUCAUGGAUGUAGGGCUGAGUUCCAGCCUGCCUGAGUUAUCAGGACCCUGCCUCCAUAGAAAGAACACACCCUCCUGGCAUCCAGGCCUCGAGGAGCACAAAACUGUAAAGAUGCUAGAGAGGGCCUUUCCCUCCACCCCAGGACACUGCACUCCAAGAUGAGCGUGAAAACAGCCCAAAGAGGGUGUAAGGAGCCCUGAGCAGUUGAUUUUCAGAGUACAGGGGUGAAAGGGCACUGCUCCAAGAGCCACAGAGAGGCCAGGGCUCAUGUAAGUGGCUUCUCACUGCCAACAGAGGAGGACUAAGAAAGAUUCACCGCUCACCUGAAGAGCAGUCCGGAGAGAAAACAGACAUGCUUGGGACCGCCUGCAGAAGUCAUAGGGCUUCAAGAUCAUGAACACCACACCGAACACCACACCGUGCCUUCCAGAGGGAGUUACAACAUAGCAUGUGACCAGAGUCCUCAAAAUCUCCCAGUGGGUUCUUCUCUACACUCAAAGCAAGGGCUCCUGUGUGUAUACAGACAUCUUCCAGGGCUCCUGUGUGUGCACAGACAUCUUCCAGGGCUCCUGUGUGUACACAGACAUCUUGCAAGGAACCUUUGUGACCACACAGUCUCUAGGACUGAAGAGAAUUACGAACACGUUUAUUGAUGCCUUUAUUGCUCUUCCCUCCCAGAUUUUAUUUUGGGGAGCAUUGGAGUGACAUGGUGUGGUGGCUUGGCCCAGGGAGUGGCACUAUUAGGAAGUGUGGUCUUGUUGGAGUAGGUGUGGCCUUGUUGGAGGAAUUUUG